rnacentral:pre_miRNA from 1 species
UUAGCUCAUAUUUGUAUGGAAUGGGAUCGUUUGCCUACGUUUGCCGCUAGGGGCUCUAUUCCGACUGCAUACAAAAUUGGACUA